UGAAGAUCUAACUAUGAUGUAUAAUGAAUAAUGUGAUUCUAUAUGUGUUACAAAGCUUUGUUGUGCAAUAAGAUAUUAUAAGAUUUGUUUUGUUUAGCACAGAAUUUUGAAGUGAAUUUGUGAUUUUGGACGGAAAAUUAAGGUACAACAAUAACCAGUUCGAUUAAAAAGGAAUUCCAAUAUCAGCUGAAAGUAUGGCUAGCUCUUCUGAACAACCUCCUCCAUAUUCUCCAUCGAAUCAACAACAAGGGCAACAACCAGGGCAACAAUAUAUUCAUCAAUUUGUUCAACAGAACCCACAGGGUUUCGUUCAAGCACAGCCGUCUAAAGAAGGAUUCAGUGACAUUUCCAGUGGCUAUGGGUAUACUCAGCAAUCCCAGAUGCCGCCAACAAUAAUGAACACCACAAAUACGAAUGUAGUGGUGUGCCAGCCACAAGCAGGACCAACACUCAUUAUAAAUCCUGCCCCGUACAGCUACAUGACACCAGCAAUUUUGACCUGUCUGUUUUGUUGCUGGAUUACUGGUAUUGGAGCUAUCGUUGCGGCAUCUAUGUCUCAAAGUCAAGCUAGUGAAAUGAAAUACGAUGAGGCAAGAAAGUCAUCAAACAUAGCUAGAAUCCUUAUUCUCGUGACAAUUUGUUGCGGUAUCGGCGGUUAUAUUAUUCUUUUAGCCGUAUCAGUAGCUGGCCAUGGGUAAUAAAGUUGAUUGGUAAAUGGCCCGGUGAAUCUGCUUUAAAUAACAAAUAUAUAUAUAUUAAAUAAGUUACAUACAAUUAUUGAAAGUGUUAUAUGAUCAAUUUCAUGUAAAUAGUCGAAUUGUUGAGGUUCUAUAUUAACAUGAACAUGUUCAGAAAUUUCUGUGACACUCUUUAAGGCAGGAAAUAAAACCAAGGAAAUCGUAAUUAUCAAAACAAUGUUUUGAUAUCAAUAUAGUUACACUCAAUAUUGUUUUGUCCUACAAUCAGCCAACUCAAGUUCAAAUAACAUGAAUACAACAACAAUAGUUUGCUUUAUUUGUACUUGUACUUGUAUAUAUAAGUCUUUUGUUAUCCUGUUUCUAUAUUGAGCGGAAGAUAAUUUGACUGUUCAUUUUGGAAUCCUGUUGGCGGUAUGCCAUUAACCAAUGUCGAUUCCUAUGAAAAUCAAAGACCAAAAAAAAAAAAAAAAACAAACAACGUAAAGCAUCAAAAAUAAAUUGCAGGAUAAAAACAAAUAUGCAAAUAGUCUAAAACAUACAUUGAUUCUUAUUCACUAUGACACAAGAGGAAAGCUAGACGAACCUCACUUUGGUUAUAUUUUCCAAAGCUCGUACACAAAUACCGAGGGACAUU